AUUGAACGCUGGCGGCAUGCCUUACACAUGCAAGUCGAACGGUAACGGGCCUUCGGGUGCCGACGAGUGGCGAACGGGUGCGUAAUACAUCGGAACGUGCCCGAUCGUGGGGGAUAACGAGGCGAAAGCUUUGCUAAUACCGCAUACGAUCUACGGAUGAAAGCAGGGGACCGCAAGGCCUUGCGCGGACGGAGCGGCCGAUGGCAGAUUAGGUAGUUGGUGGGAUAAAAGCUUACCAAGCCGACGAUCUGUAGCUGGUCUGAGAGGAUGAUCAGCCACACUGGGACUGAGACACGGCCCAGACUCCUACGGGAGGCAGCAGUGGGGAAUUUUGGACAAUGGGCGCAAGCCUGAUCCAGCCAUGCCGCGUGCAGGAUGAAGGCCUUCGGGUUGUAAACUGCUUUUGUACGGAACGAAAAGCCUUCUUUUAAUACAGGAGGGUCAUGACGGUACCGUAAGAAUAAGCACCGUCUAACUACGUG
rnacentral:rRNA from 1 species